CCAAAGGCUCUUUUAAGAGCCACCCAUUCUGUCAUUUUAAGAGUUU
rfam:Danio rerio chromosome 25, GRCz11 reference primary assembly.